UUUCAACGUCAUACACGCUGCGUGCCGUUCAGCCACUACACACAGCAUGGACGUCGCACAUAAUCGAUCGCUCGGGUUCGCCGGGAAGGAGAUCUUGUUCCGCAAGAUCGAGUUUGAGCGCUAUCGGAAACCGCACGUCGUGGAAUACCCCCGUAGCGCCGUUGUCCUCAACCCGCAGCACACACGUCAGCUCCGCGAUGCGAUGUGCACGCAGCGGCAGGGUGUCGAACACAACAGCAGCGACGCAGACGACGGCGACCAGGGGGAGGCGCCCCGCAGAUACUCGGACAGCGACGAUGACGACGACGAUGACCCGCAGCGCGUCGACAAGGCGACACAGCUGUGCUCCGACGCGCAGUUUCGCGGCAGCCUACACUUGUGCUGGCAGGCCAUCACACCUGUUGGACUGGGGCUCAUGAAUCUUGGCAACACGUGCUUCGCGAACAGCGUGCUGCAAGCACUGGCCCAUACCCCGGCGGUGGCACAGUACUUCAUGAACACGUUUCGCUCAGCAGACAGCCAGCUUGGUGCCCCCUUCGACUUUGCCUUCGCCCUUGCCGAGACGUUUCGCAAGAUGCAGCACGCGCCACAGCAGGGCCGAACCGGCGGCGGCGGUGCGUACCGACCUGGGCAGAUCAUGAGCAACCUCCGUCUGCUCUCAAAGCACUUCUCCAUUGGGCGGCAGAGCGACGCGCAUGAGUUUGCGGUGCAACUUCUCUUUUCGUGUCAGAAAUCCCUGCUGCACCGCCUUGUCGGCUCCAAGAAGGUGCACCCACGGGUGGCGCACACCACCGCGCUUCACCGCAUCUGCGGCGGCUACCUGCUCUCACAGGUGACGUGGUCGCGCCAGGAAGAGAUUCAGCAGUUGCUGCGCGCCGGCAAGCAGCAGGAGGCGAUGGAUCUCAAGAUGGAGGCAAAGCAAGCAGAGGGGAAGCGGGCACAGCGUGCCUCACGGCACGGCCUUGACCCUCAGACCCUGUGCUCCAACACCUACGACCCCUUUACGAUUCUCUCGGUGGAGUUAGCGGGGCACACGCUGCAGCACUGCCUUGACAAGUUCUGCGCGGUCGAGGAACUCGAUGGCCGCUCUUACCUGUCCCCACGCCAGGUCGGUGUGCGCGCGAAGAAAAAGCUAAGCAUCCACGUCCCGCCGCCCGUGUUCGUCAUCCACGUGAAGCGCUUUACCCCCUCCGGCAGCAAAAUUAACAAGCACGUGCUGUUCCCGCUAGAGCUGGACAUUACCCGCUACUGCACCCUACUGUCGUCGUCGUCAUCGCCGCCGCCGCCGCCGAAUCACCUGCAGCCGCACAAUGGUAUGUCCUCCCCAGCGACAACGAAGAGAGCCGAUUGCCAGUACGAGCUCAACGCCGUAUGCGUUCACGAGGGACGUUCCAUUGACUACGGCCACUACUACACCUUGGCCAAGGCCCCUAAUGGCAUGUGGUACGAGUUCAACGACAGCCAUGUUAGUCGUCUUUCGGAGGACCAGCUGCAACAGGCACAGGUGUACAUGCUCUUCUACUCCCGAAAGCCCACGGUCGCCGCUGAGAUGAUGCAGCCGCCGCAUCAGCAGCAGCACAACAUCCGCGGCAGCGCACCGGCCUCUGUGUCUUCCUCCGCCGCCUCCAAGCUCGGCGCGAUGACAGCAGUGGAAGAGGACGGCGCUGUUGGGCAAGAGCUGAGCGAGUCGGAGGUGCAGGUACUACUGGAGAAACGCCGCGCUGUGCAACGGCAGGCGGGCAGUUUAAACGGGUGUCGCUCUUCCUCGUCUGCGACGGCUGCAGAGAAGCCGCAACUCCUGUCCAACACUUCUGGCGACAGCGAUGACGAGGGUCACGCCGUCGAGCCCACGUCUUUGUCGUCGAGCAAGUCUGCCCGGGCGCAGACCUUCAAGCGCAUGCAAGAGGCGCUUCCAACGGACUCGGACAGCAACAGCGACGACGAAAAGCAGGACCGCGCAUAUGUGCUCCGGCUGCCGGCACAGCUGAACGGAUGCACAGUGCAGGACAGCCACAUCGAGGCAGACGUAGCGCCACAACCCUCACGGCGAGAUGACGAGCACGACGCACCGGCGGACGGCGAGGCGCCGCUCAAGCUGGCCAAGGUUUCACUGUAUGGUGGCAUCAUUAAGUCGAUGAAGCGCAUGUUGAAGGACGGCGCCGACGGUGGUGCGUCCACCGACACGACGGCGCCGCAGCAGCAGCGGAAGAGCCCAAACUUUCGGGUUGGCCGGAACGCCGUGCAAGCACUGCAUCAGCGCAAGGUGCUCAACACCCCUGAGACGGUGCGACGACCGGCAUCUGCACCCAAGUUCCAGCAGCGCAUCCGUGAUCCCAUGUGGGAGAUGGAGAUGGACCGCGGCAAGGUGAAGAAGGUCAAGUCUAAGGAGAAGGCGCCGGAUCCGUUUGAAGGCGUCAACCCCUUCCAGGAAGUGUCGCGAGGCAUGUUCGACGUUCGUGGACGGCGGCGUCGGGCGUAGGAAGAGCUUCUGCGAUUGCGCACCGCUGGGCUUGCCUGCCCGCCUACCUGCCUGUGUGUGCGUGCGAGGGUGCCGCUUUAGUGCAGGAGAUCAUCGCUUUCUCCUCCUCCCCCCUCCUCCCUCUACCAAGCAUAUGCAUGUGCAUGGCCACCUGCUGCUGAGAUGCCGCCACCGUCACCAUAUGAUGCGCGUCGCCACGCUCUCCGUGCGCAAAUUUGCGGCUGUGCGUGUGUUUGACCUCCAUCGAUUAAGCUCUUACGAGUUUUUAUUUCGCGUGCGCGUAUGUGUGUAUGUGUGUUCUGUGUAUAAGUGGGCAGUGAGAGGGGGCGACGGCGGCAGAGGAUGAUUAUGUGCUGCCCGCCCCCCCCCCUGCCCCCCGCUCCCCUCCGUUGUGACUCGUAGUGAGUCGUCGCUUGAGAGUAAGUGUCAUCGUGAUGGUGGUGGUGUGUGUCUAUGGACUGUCUGUACCACUCACUCUCACUGUCUAGCUCUUCGUGCGUCAUCCUUUCCGUGUGAGGGGAUCUGUGUAUGUAUGCUCUUUGCGCCAGCCCACACCACGUGCAUCAUCCGGCAACCGUUGUACUGCAGCGCGCACGCGCACGCACACUUACUAAGAGCGUGAGAAUAAGUGAGGGAGAAUAAGCCACAUGAUAAAUAUGAGCCGAGUCUCUGCCAGCAGCACCCGGCCGCAGCCGCAGCUGCAGACGCUGAAAUACGCAAUAUUUGGCCGCCACGGUAGGUGCACCCCUCCCCCUCCUCCUCCUCUUCUCUCUUCCACGCGCUCUUUCUUUUCUCUGUGAGUUGCCUGCCUGCAAG
rnacentral:misc_RNA from 1 species